CUCACUCUGCAGUUGGGCACAGUUGAGUGAAGACGCAACAUUAUGUGUGGUGAAUUUUAUAAGACGUAGAAGCAAGCAUAUGAUUUACACUUGGACAACCCAUUUAUGCUGUCAAAGAUCUUUUUGUAAGAGGCCCAGGGAGAAACUGUGCAACAUGAGCCUCCAAGCAACAAGGUCUUUGGUUGACAUAUAUCAUGCUCAAUUUUAUGUAUAUCUUAUAUCAAAUCCGAAUAAAUAUUUUUGUAAUUCCUCGUUAUUUUUUAUAUUGAUAUAGAAUACACAGCACAGCAAUAUUAAAAUGGGAAUGGGAAAAGAUUACUGUUUAUGUGAUAACUAUUUCAAGUUCAAUCUGGAAAUAUUAUGCAAUUUUCUUUUGGGAAUGACGGUUUUCUAUAAAAACCUGCGAUAUUUAUUGAAAAAUUGAAAA